UUCAAAGCUGAAGCCAGAUGGCUGGCGAUUGCCCGAGUGAAUACGGAUAGAACUUUUAGUUCCACGGUGUUCUUUGAUAAUAUGAAGUUCAUCUGGGGAUUGGCUCAACCGCCGAAAUUCCGUGAGGCAUGAGAAAAUCUAGUAUUUAUCAUCCAACUUUUCUGUCUAGGGGACUGGAGGAAGGUCGUGCACGGAGGACCUUGGCUCUUCAGGGGCCUAGGAGUGAUCAUUGAGGAUUAUGACGGCAAGACGGAUCCUGAAGCAGUGGUGUUGGAUGGCUUGUAUGUAUGGGCCCAAAUACACAAGAUCCCGGAUGUUUAUCGCCAGCAACCAGUGGUUGAUCAGCUAGCCCGAAGGAUUGGUAAAGUACGUGAAGUUCAGAUGCGACCAACCCUCUACUAUGAGGGAGACUAUGUUCGCGUUUGUGCUAGGGUUCUUACCACCAAACCCUUAACUCGUUUUACUCCUCUUACGAUGGUGGACGAGGGCACACGCAUGUUGAUCGUUAAAUAUGAGAAGAUCCCUUUCUUCUGUCAGAUUUGCGGUUUUAUGGGCCACAGGUAUGCUGAAUGCGGCAAUGGCGUGUGGAGAGAGGAGGACAAAAAGUGGGGCAAAUGGAUGAUUGCUAAACGCCACACAACGCAUUACUCUCAGCCUUUCGGAGGAAAUUUUUCUGCUCGGGGCGGUAGGGGGCAAGGUCGUGGCGGCACUGCAGGCCGUGGGUACGUCCCAGCUCGCGGAUGUGGUGAGGGUACGGAACCGACGAGUAGAAGCACUACUCAUGUAGCAAGAGUGAACGAUAACAGGGGAAAACAAUUGAUGCACAUGUGGACAGCAGCGGAGAAAAUGCAGAUACUGAAUAUGCACGCACAAGUGAACCAAUACCCGGCACAGUUACAGACCAGGGUGAAUGGGAGAAUCAGGGAAAAACAACUGAUGUACUUGUGA
rnacentral:rRNA from 1 species